rnacentral:tRNA from 1 species
CAAAAGUUAGUUUAAUAAAACAUUAGUUUUGGAUACUAAAAUUUCCUUCUGUC